AGCUAUCGGGNCNAUACCCCGAAAAUGUUGGAUUACACCCUUCCCGUACUA
rnacentral:tRNA from 1 species